rnacentral:tRNA from 1 species
GGACGGGUGGCUGAGCGGCUGAAAGCGCCCGCCUGCUAAGCGGGUAGGGGGUGUAAAGCUCCCUCCCGGGUUCGAAUCCCGGCCCGUCCGCCA